GAUGAACGCUGGCGGCGUGCCUAAUACAUGCCAGUCGAGCGAACAGACGAGGAACUUGCUCCUCUGACGUUAGCGGCGGACGGGUGAGUAACACGUGGAUAACCUACCUAUAAGACUGGGAUAACUUCGGGAAACCGGAGCUAAUACCGGAUAAUAUAUUGAACCGCAUGGUUCAAUAGUGAAAGACGGUUUUGCUGUCACUUAUAGAUGGAUCCGCGCCGCAUUAGCUAGUUGGUAAGGUAACGGCUUACCAAGGCAACGAUGCGUAGCCGACCUGAGAGGGGGAUCGGCCACACUGGAACUGAGACACGGUCCAGACUCCUACGGGAGGCAGCAGUAGGGAAUCUUCCGCAAUGGGCGAAAGCCUGACGGAGCAACGCCGCGUGAGUGAUGAAGGUCUUCGGAUCGUAAAACUCUGUUAUUAGGGAUGAACAAAUGUGUAAGUAACUAUGCACGUCUUGACGGUACCUAAUCAGAAAGCCACGGCUAACUACGUG
rnacentral:rRNA from 1 species